rnacentral:rRNA from 1 species
AUCAACGCUGGCGGCGUGCCUAACACAUGCAAGUCGAACGAGAAAGUGGAGCAAUCCAUGAGUACAGUGGCGACCGGGUGAGUAACACGUGACUAACCUGCCCUCGAGUGGGGAAUAACUCCGGGAAACCGGAGCUAAUACCGCUUAACAUCGCAAGAUCAAAGCCGAAAGGCGCUUGAGGAGGGGGUCGCGGCUGAUUAGCUAGUUGGUAGGGUAAUGGCCUACCAAGGCAAAGAUCGGUAUCCGGCCUGAGAGGGCGCACGGACACACUGGAACUGAAACACGGUCCAGACUCCUACGGGAGGCAGCAGUGGGGAAUUUUGCGCAAUGGGGGAAACCCUGACGCAGCAACGCCGCGUGGAGGAUGAAGUCCCUUGGGACGUAAACUCCUUUCGACCCGGACGAUACUGACGGUACGGGUGGAAGAAGCACCGGCUAACUCUGUGCCAGCAGCCGCGGGUAAUACAGAGGGUGCGAGCGUUGUUCGGAAUUAUUGGGCGUAAAGGGCGCGUAGGCGGUUGCGGUAAGUCACCUGUGAAAUCUCCUGGCUCAACUGGGAGCUUGCAGGCGAAACUGCCGUGCUGGAGUGUGGGAGAGGUGCGUGGAAUUCCCGGUGUAGCGGGUGAAAUGCGUAAAUAUCGGGAGGAACACCUGUGGCGAAAGCGGCGCACUGGACCACAACUGACGCUGAGGCGCGAAAGCUAGGGGAGCAAACAGGAUUAGAUACCCUGGUAGUCCUAGCCCUAAACUAUGGAUGCUUGCUGUGAUGGGUACCCAAUCCCAUCGUGGCGCAGCUAACGCGAUAAGCAUCCCGCCUGGGGAGUACGGUCGCAAGGCUGAAACUCAAGGAAUUGACGGGGGCCCGCACAAGCGGGUGGAGCAUGUGGUUCAAUUCGACGCAACGCGAAGAACCUUACCUGGGCUCGAAAUGGAGUGGAAUCCGGUGGAAACAUCGGCGCCCGCAAGGGCCCGCUCUAUAGGUGCUGCAUGGCUGUCGUCAGCUCGUGUCGUGAGAUGUUGGGUUAAGUCCCGCAACGAGCGCAACCCUUAUCGUUAGUUGCCAUCGGGUCAAGCCGGGCACUCUAGCGAAACCGCCUCGGAUAACGGGGAGGAAGGUGGGGAUGACGUCAAGUCCUCAUGGCCUUUAUGUCCAGGGCUACACACGUGCUACAAUGCACGGUACAAACCGUCGCAAACCCGCGAGGGGGAGCUAAUCGGAAAAGCCGUGCUCAGUUCGGAUUGGAGUCUGCAACCCGACUCCAUGAAGCUGGAAUCGCUAGUAAUCGCAGAUCAGAACGCUGCGGUGAAUACGUUCCCGGGCCUUGUACACACCGCCCGUCACAUCACGAAAGUGGACCAUACUAGAAGCAGGUGGGCCAACCGCAAGGGGGCAGCCUUCCAAGGUAUAGUUCAUGAUUGGGGUG